rnacentral:lncRNA from 1 species
GAAGCAUAACGCAGCAAAGUUGGCCAAAUUGACACAUAUAUAAAAAAAAGAGUACCAACUCAAGGCCAUCAUUUUUCCUCCAAUGAAGACUUAUUAAACCUUCCACUAAUCCAGAGAGAGUAGAGGAACCACAGACAACUCAAAUACACCCCAUCAAACUUUGGCAACUGAUUAACAAGUAAUAUCAAAGGCAUAAUACAUGCUCCAUCAACUCUUCCAGUCAACAAAUUUCCCAACCUUAUUGACAACAAAUGAUUAACUGCGUGCCUAUGAGAGUUACCAACUGAUUCACUGUAUAAACCAUCAAGUAUCCCAAAUCUGCCAAAUAAUUGCAUCCUCAAUAAGCAAGUCAAAUCAAUUAUGUAAUCAGACCCCCCACAUAUAGAAAGAGAUAGAAUAAGAGAAGAGGGAAAUUCUUUGUUCCCUGAAAAUUUAAAGAAAGGAGAUAGAAAGAAAGAAGAAAUGGGAAAUCCAUUUGUUCCCUAGUCAGAGAGAUUGUAGAAAGGGCAUAGAAAAGAGGAAGAAUUUGGAAAUUAUGUUGUACCCUUGGAGAUUGUAGAAAGGAGAUAGGAAAGAGGAAGAAUUGAGAAAUUCUUUUGUUGCCUUAGAUAUUGGAGAAAAGAGAUAGAAGAGAAUGAGAAAUGAGAAAUUCUUUGUCCCCUGAGAUAAG